CUGGUAUGAAUGCUUGCAAUGAAAUGCUUUGUCCCGGAAGUGACGUAACUGAUCUGUUUGCAUUUCACUGGUCAGAGCAAGCCGCGUGGCCCGUCCUAACUUCCUGGGGGCGAGGACGUAAAGGAGAGCAAAUGAAAUGCUUAACCCCACAGUUCUUCAGAAAAGAUAGGUCUGAACGAGCCCCAGUUUUUCGUUCAUGAACUCAACUGAUGUCCCUGGAACCUUGGGAGAGUUAAAUUCUCUGAACAGACAAAACUUUAAAGGAACGAAAGAAGUCCUGUCGGAAGCUGCUUGAGGAGAAGGGAAACACCAUCUUGAUCAAUCCUUAGGGACCUGCACUCUCAGAGAUGGAUGCGGAGCCACCAGGAGUCACCCUACAUCUGAGGUCAAGGGCAGCAGCCUAGAGUGCCAGGCUGUGACGGCGCAGGAAUGGCUGAGAGGAGCUACCCAGAGUCUGAGUGCCACAUGGAAUGCAGGAUCAUCGUUCUCCGACCAGGGAUCAAAACUCACACUCCUUGAAUAGGAAGAUGGAGUCAUAACCACUGGGCCGCCAGGGAAGUCCCACACCUUCAUUUUUAUAGGUUAUAUUUUCUGAAUAUGCAAUUACAGGCUAACAGCGGUUGACUGGGUCCCCUUUCCCUCUCCCUUUAGCAAUUUUAAAAUGUCAUUCUGUGUCUCUUAACUUGUGUUGGUUUUGAUAACAAGUCAAUCAUAAUUCUUAUCAUAGGUCCCUGUAUGUAAUGUUUCUUUCUCUUGGGCUGUUUUAAGUAUUUUCUCUUACCAUUGAUUUUCAGCAGUGUAAUCAAUGAGUUUUGGUAUGAUUUCCUUUGUGAUUAUCUCUCUUGGUGCUUGUACUUUUUAGACCAGGGUGAUGAUAUUUUUCAUCAAAUUUGAAAAAAAAAUUUCAGGCAUUAUAUCACCAAAUAUAUAUUCUUUCCCACUCUAUCCUAUAAACCCAAUUACACAUAUGCUAUAUCACUUGAUAUUGAUGGUGUCCCAAAGGUCACUGAGCCCUUGUUCAUUUUUUUAAAAUUAUAGACUUAAUUUUUGGGAACAGUUUUAAGUUUACAGGAAAGGUGAAUGAAAUGUACAGAGAGG
ensembl:lncRNA